rnacentral:rRNA from 1 species
AUUGAACGCUGGCGGCAGGCCUAACACAUGCAAGUCGAGCGGAUGAAGGGAGCUUGCUCCUGGAUUCAGCGGCGGACGGGUGAGUAAUGCCUAGGAAUCUGCCUGGUAGUGGGGGAUAACGUCCGGAAACGGGCGCUAAUACCGCAUACGUCCUGAGGGAGAAAGUGGGGGAUCUUCGGACCUCACGCUAUCAGAUGAGCCUAGGUCGGAUUAGCUAGUUGGUGGGGUAAAGGCCUACCAAGGCGACGAUCCGUAACUGGUCUGAGAGGAUGAUCAGUCACACUGGAACUGAGACACGGUCCAGACUACUACGGGAGGCAGCAGUGGGGAAUAUUGGACGAUGGGCGAAAGCCUGAUCCAGCCAUGCCGCGUGUGUGAAGAAGGUCUUCGGAUUGUAAAGCACUUUAAGUUGGGAGGAAGGGCAGUAAGUUAAUACCUUGCUGUUUUGACGUUACCAACAGAAUAAGCACCGGCUAACUUCGUG